rnacentral:rRNA from 1 species
UACGGAGGGUGCAAGCGUUAUCCGGAUUCACUGGGUUUAAAGGGUGCGUAGGCGGAUAGGUAAGUCCGUGGUGAAAUCCUGCAGCUUAACUGCAGAACUGCCAUGGAUACUAUUUAUCUUGAAUGUCGUGGAGGUUAGCGGAAUAUGUCAUGUAGCGGUGAAAUGCUUAGAUAUGACAUAGAACACCCAUUGCGAAGGCAGCUAACUACGCGAUAAUUGACGCUGAUGCACGAAAAGCGUGGGGGAUCAAAACAGGAUUAGAAA